CCUACGGGUGGCUGCAGUGAGGAAUAUUGGUCAAUGGGCGCGAGCCUGAACCAGCCAAGUAGCGUGAAGGAUGACUGCCCUACGGGUUGUAAACUUCUUUUAUAAAGGAAUAAAGUGAGGCACGUGUGCCUUUUUGUAUGUACUUUAUGAAUAAGGAUCGGCUAACUCCGUGCCAGCAGCCGCGGGAAUCCGGAGGAUCCGAGCGUUAUCCGGAUUUAUUGGGUUUAAAGGGAGCGUAGGUGGGUUGUUAAGUCAGUUGUGAAAGUUUGCGGCUCAAACGUAAAAUUUCAAUGGAUACUGGCAGGCUUGAGUACAGUUGAGGUAGGCGGAAUUCGUGGUGUAGCGGUGAAAUGCUUAGAUAUCACGAAGAACUCCGAGUGCGAAGGCAGACUACUAAACUGCCACUGACAUUGAUGCUCGAAAGUGUGGGUAUCAAACAGGAUUAGAUACCCCUGGUAGUC
rnacentral:rRNA from 1 species